GAGUGAACAUUACCAAUUAUUAUUCUUUUACAUAAACUGUAGCUAAAAACCCAGUUCGUUCCUUAAAGUGAACGAGUUCACAAAAGAAUCAUGAAUUGUGUUUCAAUGCAUGAGUCCUCUCCCUAAGGUGUCUAGUGGAUCCGCCUCUGGAUGGUAGAAUCAAGCAUGACAGAAAUGUAACAAGCCUGCAAAUUACACAAGUCUUCCUCUCUAGUAUCUACUCUAGUUGUUGUGUUAUUCAUAGCUUUGGGAUAAUCCCCAACUCUGAUUCCGACAGAAAUCAUAUGUCCUCGGGUGUCUCAUUCUAUGUCCUGGGAAUCAGAUUUUAACAAGUAAUAUAAAAAUGUUAUUUUUUGUUUUUAAAUGUUUUGUUUUUAUUUAUACGUCAAUAUCUGAUUGGUUCAGGACAUACGGAGACAUUACAAGCACACAUUAAUUGAGUGUAAUCGAAACACCCAUCUUGAAUAAUCGAAAGCAAUGAAAUAUGAAAAGGAGUAAAUGAAAGAAAAUAUAAAAAAGAAAAUUGGAAAGAAAGUAAGGAAAGUGGAAGAGGUACAUACCUGGAAUGCCAAAAAGGUAGAGGUUUCGCCAAUCCCUUCAGCGAUAGAUAGAAUAGAAGAUAAAACAUGUAAUGGGAUUUAUCAUUUAUGUCAUUUUCCCUAUGUAUAUUAAAUAAAUAUUAAAUUAUUUUUUAAGUUAAGAAAAAUAGAGAUAAUUUAACAUGGAUGAUUUGUGUUCAUAAUAAGUCUACCCCACACUCAAUUUUGAUGGUAUUUUUUGUCCCACCAUUUUUAUCCUAUCCUUUAUUUCUUUUUGUUCAGAAAAAAUAUAAAAUUAAUAUAUAUUUAAUUCUUAUUUUGUUUUUCUGACCAAUAAUAAAUGAUUUAUAUAUAAUAUGAAGUGAUAUAAAAUUUGGAAAAGAAAAUGUGGUUUCCAUUCAAACCUAGAAUCAAACUCUAACUUUUAUAUUUGCCAUAUGCCCCUUAUAGUAUUGGACUUUUGAUAUAUAGAUAUUAGAGGACCAACAAGUACUAUAGGCUUCAAUAAAUUUGAUGUGGACUAAAAUAUGAAUGAUUUGAUUCAUGUAAAUAACUAUUAUUAAGAUGGUAAUUACACAUUGAAAUGGAAUUUCUUAAUCAUAAGAUAAGAAAAAAUCAUUGAUUAUACAAAAAAGAAUUAGAAUGACAUAACUAAACUUAUUAUAUAAAAAUAUUAGUCAAUUUUUAGUAUUAGAUAUCUAUAUAAGAUUAGGUUAUUUAUUCUAUUUAAAAACCUGAAAAUAUAUUUUUAAAUAAGUAAAAUCAUAUUUUAAUUAAAUUAGACUUACAGAAAAUACCUCCAGAGAAGAGUAUUUGCUUUACCAAAUAAAAAAUGACACUUAACUAAAAAAUAAAAAUAGAAAACAAAAACACAAAACUAGAUAAUAAAGAAAAACAAGACACAAUAAAAAUGAUUUUACCUUUAUAACCAGCAUCGGUCCAACCUGAUGUUAACGUCUAAAUUGCCACCAUCUCGCAUCUCCCAACCCAAGGUUGUUGUCUACAUAUAUUUUUUUUUGUUUCCCACAUGUAUUAUCAUAUGGGAGACAAUUCUAUUCGAGUCAGAAAUAUUAUAGGUAUGUGGAGUUAACUCUCUCAACGGAUAUUUUUUUAUUUACAAACUCAAACCCAAAACCUUAUUUAAGGGGAAUCAAACAUGUAUCACUUGUCUCUUACAUAUAAUCCACCACAUGUUGGUGCAUUCUGUUUGAUUUUCUUUGGAAACAAUGUUUACUAAACAUUGUUCCAUCUUUUGGAAACAAUGAUUCAUCUUUUACUCAUUUUUUGUUCUCUUGCUUUUAUGUACAUUAGGAAUUGUGAAAUCAAAUUGGUCAUGAGAAAGGAAGAUAACUAGGAUUGUUUUGUGGUUCUAAUCACCCCUUAGUAUUGAAAAAUAUUGUUUAAAUAUAUUAAACCAAGUUACUAUAUGGAAGAGAUAAGAUUUUUUUUAUUGAUUCAAUAUGUAAGUUGCUUUCAUGAUCUCAUUCUUGUCACAAUUGCAUACAAAGUGUAUGAGUGAAUACUUCACUCAAUUUGUUAUGAUUUUAAUGGAGAUAAUACCAUCACUUGUGAUUGUUUAUCUAUCUUUGGUCUUCAUCUCUAGUUCAAUAUUUUACUAACUCUAUAUUUGGCUUCACCUUUAAUAAAGUAUAUGGCUUUAAUCAUCAAUUGGUGACCAAAUGCAUAUAAUAGGAGAGGUGGACGAACAACAAUCCCAAAUUCAAUCAAAAUUUGAAAAGAACUUAAAUUAAUUUGAAGCACUAUUUAUGAGUAUGAUAUUUAGAACUGACAAAUAACUUAUGAUUUUUAUAAUUCAUUUCCAUUUAGAAAAGGUUUCAAAUUUGAAAGAAUUUGAAUUAUAAAGCAAGAAAUGUCAAAUAGUUACAAAGUAUCACUUUGUUUGUAAAGAAUGAAAUAGAAUACCAUAAAGAGACUCGAACUAAAAAAGUAAAAUGCCGCAAAGAUGAAAGGGAAGGUUGCAAGGCUCACAUAGAAUCAUGAAUUCGUUAUAGGUAUAACUAAAAGAUAUCAACUACAUUCUCACAACAAAGCACAUUAGAAUUAUUCUAUUAAGAGUUUCGUAGAAAAUUUCAUAAUUGUGAAUUAAGUCUGACACAAAUUUCACAUCUUAUCAUCUUAUCAUGAGUAAUAAAUCAUUCAUAGUGACAUUAAAUAAAGUAAUUAGACAUUUGAGAGUUAAUAGGAAAAAUAAUGUUGGCAAGAGAAUAUAUGAUUGUUCUUAAAAAAUGCAAUAGAUCUUAUAGGUCCAACACAAAUUUUACUAGGAAUACUAUUUCACACUAUUGUUGAUAUCAACUUUCCUACCUAUUUUCUAUGUUGCUCUUCUCACUUACUUAUGUAUAUAAUGAAGGGAGAAAAACUUCGUCAUAAAAACAUAAUGCAAGAUUAAUUUUUCUCAUAUUUUUAAGAUGUCUUGAAAAUGUUACUUCAACUUUCUAAACUUGACUUCAUAGUAUUUAGAAGUAAUGAAAUAAUUUCAAAUUUUGGAAAGGUCAUUAUCAAAUAUAUUUAAUGGAUCAUUUAUGAAGAGUAACUCUUAACUCAUUUGAGUGAACAUUACCAAUUAUUAUUCUUUUACAUAAACUGUAGCUAAAAACCCAGUUCGUUCCUUAAAGUGAACGAGUUCACAAAAGAAUCAUGAAUUGUGUUUCAAUGCAUGAGUCCUCUCCCUAAGGUGUCUAGUGGAUCCGCCUCUGGAUGGUAGAAUCAAGCAUGACAGAAAUGUAACAAGCCUGCAAAUUACACAAGUCUUCCUCUCUAGUAUCUACUCUAGUUGUUGUGUUAUUCAUAGCUUUGGGAUAAUCCCCAACUCUGAUUCCGACA
rnacentral:lncRNA from 1 species